rnacentral:rRNA from 1 species
AAUAGAUACCGGGUAGUCCACGCCGUAAACGUUGGAUACUAGGUGUGGCGGUUAUACCAAUGACUGCCGUGCCGAAGCUAACGCAUUAAGUAUCCCGCCUGGGGAGUACGGCCGCAAGGCUAAAACUCAAAGGAAUUGACGGGUCCCCGCACAAGCGGCGGAGCAUGCGGCUUAAUUCGAUGCAACCCGAAGAACCUUACCUGGGUUUGACAUCACGGGAAAAGCUGUAGAAAUACAGUGUCCAUUAGGGCCCGUGACAGGUGGUGCAUGGCUGUCGUCAGCUCGUGUCGUGAGAUGUUGGGUUAAGUCCCGCAACGAGCGCAACCCUUGUCCUAUGUUGCCAGCGGUUCGGCCGGGGACUCAUAGGAGACUGCCGGGGAUAACUCGGAGGAAGGUGAGGACGACGUCAAGUCAUCAUGCCCCUUAUAUCCAGGGCUGCACGCAUGCUACAAUGGCCGGUACAACGGGCAGCGGCCCCGCGAGGGUGAGCGAAUCCUAAAAAGCCGGUCCUAGUUCGGAUUGAAGUCUGCAACUCGACUUC